UGGGGAAUAUUGGACAAUGGGCGAAAGCCUGAUCCAGCCAUGCCGCGUGUGUGAAGAAGGUCUUCGGAUUGUAAAGCACUUUAAGUUGGGAGGAAGGGCAGUAAGCGAAUACCUUGCUGUUUUGACGUUACCGACAGAAUAAGCACCGGCUAACUCUGUGCCAGCAGCCGCGGUAAUACAGAGGGUGCAAGCGUUAAUCGGAAUUACUGGGCGUAAAGCGCGCGUAGGUGGUUCGUUAAGUUGAAUGUGUAAGCCCCGGGCUCAACCUGGGAACUGCAUCCGAAUCUGGCGAGCUGGAGUAGGGCAGAGGGUGGUGGAAUGUCCUGUGUAGCGGUGAAAUGCGUAGGUAUAGGAAGGAACGCCAGUGGCGAAGGCGACCACCUGGGCUCAUACUGACACUGAGGUGCGAAAGCGUGGGGAGCAAACAGG
rnacentral:rRNA from 1 species